rnacentral:rRNA from 1 species
AGCGAACGCUGGCGGCAGGCUUAACACAUGCAAGUCGAACGCAUCCUUCGGGGUGAGUGGCAGACGGGUGAGUAACACGUGGGAACGUACCUCUUUGUUCGGAAUAGCUUUUGGAAACGGAAGGUAAUACCGGAUACGCCCUUUUGGGGAAAGAUUUAUCGCAGAGAGAUCGGCCCGCGUCUGAUUAGCUAGUUGGUGAGGUAAUGGCUCACCAAGGCGACGAUCAGUAGCUGGUCUGAGAGGAUGAUCAGCCACACUGGGACUGAGACACGGCCCAGACUCCUACGGGAGGCAGCAGUGGGGAAUAUUGGACAAUGGGCGCAAGCCUGAUCCAGCCAUGCCGCGUGAGUGAUGAAGGCCUUAGGGUUGUAAAGCUCUUUUGUCCGGGAAGAUAAUGACUGUACCGGAAGAAUAAGCCCCGGCUAACUUCGUG